rnacentral:rRNA from 1 species
AUUGAACGCUGGCGGCAGGCCUAACACAUGCAAGUCGAGCGGAGCGGCGGACGGGUGAGUAAUGCCUAGGGAUCUGCCUGGUAGAGGGGGAUAACGUCUGGAAACGGGCGCUAAUACCGCAUACUAUCAGAUGAGCCUAGGUCGGAUUAGCUAGUUGGUGGGGUAAUGGCCUCCCAAGGCGACGAUCCGUAGCUGGUCUGAGAGGAUGAUCAGUCACACUGGAACUGAGACACGGUCCAGACUCCUACGGGAGGCAGCAGUGGGGAAUAUUGGACAAUGGGCGAAAGCCUGAUCCAGCCAUGCCGCGUGUAUGAAGAAGGUCUUCGGGUUGUAAAGCACUUUAAGUUGGGAGGCGUUACCCGCAGAAGAAGCACCGGCUAACUCCGUGCCAGCAGCCGCGGUAAUUC